CUUCGCAGUAAAUGGGGUGGAGCUGUUUCUUUGCAGCAGUAGAGGGGUGGGGCUGUUUUGCAGCACCAGAAGUGGGGUGGGGCUGUUUUGCAGUAGUUUCAGCGUUGGAACUCCAACAAUUUUGUGUCAAGCCAUUCGUCGGUCAUGCCAAUCUUAUACGCUGCAUAUACUGGCGUGUAGGAGAGAGAAGAGAUGGAGCUGUGUCUAGAGUUGUCUCUGUCUUUUUUUGUGCAGUUUAUAUUGUGUUACUAGGACAGUGUUAUGUUGCUAUGCCCUAGGGAUAUAAACUAGUUAUUACACGUGCACUCGGGAUGCAUGGAAUAUAUUGCACUCAGCCCUCGGGGCUUACGCCCUCGUGCUUCAGUGCAAUAUAUUCCAUACAUCCCUGGUGCCCGUGUUAUAACUAUAACAUACCGUCACAAUGCUGUUUGAAGCAUUUGCUGGAAACAAUACCCAUAUUAGUGCUCCAGUGCAACUUUCAGAAACAAUCACAUGUACAAGAGCAGCAGGAACAGGUACAGUGUCCCCAACAAGAAAGUCUGAUACAAGUGACGGUCUUCUUGUGAUCAUAGGGGUCCUUGUUGCUAUAAUAGCUCUCCUGGUUGCGGUGGUUGCAGUAGUUGUCAUUGUUGUGGCUUGUAUUCUGAGAGCAAAACGAGUUGUCUAUGGUGAAGAAAAUGGUACAACUCAACAAAUUGAUCAAAGUCAUAUCACAGUGGCAUUUCAACAAAAUGAAGCAUAUAAUGUUGUCACAAAGAGACCGACAAUAGCUGAAGCUGAUAGUGACUAUGAACAAGUAG